rnacentral:rRNA from 1 species
UGCCAUCCGCCGCGGUAAUACGGAGGGUGCGAGCGUUAAUCGGAAUUACUGGGCGUAAAGCGCACGCAGGCGGUUCGUUAAGUCAAAUCUGAAAGCCCACAGCUUAACUGUGGAGGGUGAUUUGAAACUGGCGAGCUUGAGUACGGCAGAGGUUAGUGGAAUUCAAUGUGUAGCGGUGGAAUGCGUAGAUAUAUUGAGGAACACCAGUGGCGAAGGCGGCUAACUGGACCGGAACUGACGCUGAUGCACGAAAGCGUGGGUAGCAAACAGGAUUAGAUA